rnacentral:tRNA from 1 species
GCCCUGGUGGUGUAAUGGGUAAGUGCUCAGCUGCUAACUGAAAGGUUGGUGGUUCGAACCCACCCAGUGGCU